rnacentral:rRNA from 1 species
ACGGGUGAGUAACGCGUAGGAAUCUGUCUUAGAGAGGGGGACAACCCGAGGAAACUUGGGCUAAAACCGCAUAUACUCGAGAGAGGAAAGCAGGGGACCGGAAACGGCCUUGUGCUCUAAGGUGAGCCUACGUCGGAUUAGCUAGUUGGUAGGGUAAAGGCCUACCAAGGCGAUGAUCUGUAGCUGGUCUGAGAGGACGGACAGCCACACUGGGACUGAGACACGGCCCAGACUCCUACGGGAGGCAGCAGUGGGGAACAUUGGACAAUGGGGGGAACCCUGAUCCAGCGAUGCCGCGUGUGUGAAGAAGGCCUGCGGGUUGUAAAGCACUUUCAGUUGGGAAGAGAAGCGUUUUGUGAAUAAUGAGACGUGGAGACGUUACUAACAGAAGAAGCACCGGCUAACUCUGUGCCAGCAGCCGCGGUAAUACAGAGGGUGCGAGCGUUAAUCGGAGUAACUGGGCGUAAAGGGCACGUAGGCGGUUAUAUUAGUCUGAUGUGAAAGACCUGGGCUUAACCUGGGAUGUGCAUUGGAAACGGUAUAGCUAGAGUUUGGGAGAGGGAAGUGGAAUUUCCGGUGUAGCGGUG